GCGUGUGGUGGUAAAUUCAAAUUAGAAUAUAUUCAGCUUUGUUCCAUGUUGUGAAAUUUUUGAAGCCGUUGUGCCUGUUGUCAUCAUGAUCGGAUAUUCAACUGUUUAGGAUUUGUUGUUUUGCAAUGGCUUUGGAUACAAGUGCUUUUCCGUUGGAUCUGAAGAUGACCUUUCGUUCUUUGGUGGGUCUGUUCGAAAAAGAGGUUCAACGGAACACCAUUUACGGAACAACAGACAAGGAUAUCAAAAAGAAAGCUGCGUUGAAGGAUGUCCAAAAAUAAGUGUUUCUUAUACUUAAAAAGUGUAGUGUUAAGAUGUGCAAAGA